rnacentral:rRNA from 1 species
GACGAACGCUGGCGGCGUGCUUAACACAUGCAAGUCGAACGGAAAGGCCCUGCUUUUGUGGGGUGCUCGAGUGGCGAACGGGUGAGUAACACUUGAGUAACCUGCCCUUGACUUUGGGAUAACUUCAGGAAACUGGGGCUAAUACCGGAUAGGAGCUCCUGCUGCAUGGUGGGGGUUGGAAAGUUUCGGCGGUUGGGGAUGGACUCGCGGCUUAUCAGCUUGUUGGUGGGGUAGUGGCUUACCAAGGCUUUGACGGGUAGCCGGCCUGAGAGGGUGACCGGACACAAUGGGACUGAGAUACGGCCGAGACUCAUACGGGAGGGAGCAGUGGGGAAUAGUGCAAAAUGGGCGGAAGACUGAUGCAGCAACGCCGCGUGCGGGAUGACGGCCUUCGGGUUGUAAACCGCUUUCGCCUGUGACGAAGCGUGAGUGACGGUAAUGGGUAAAGAAGCACCGGAUAACUACGUG